UUGCAAUUUUGUCCUAGGUGGUAUGCCAAAAGAUUUCUACAUCCUGACAUUGUGGCGCCAUAUGACUAUAUAUUUAUCUGGGAUGAAGAUCUAGGAGUUGAGCAUUUUAAUGCAGAAGAAUAUAUAAGACUAGUGAGGAAAUAUGGCUUGGAGAUUUCACAACCUGGUUUAGAACCUAAUAAAGGGUUAACAUGGUAGAUGACAAAAAGAAGAGGUGAUCGAGAAAUUAAUGGAAUGACAUUUUCUCCUUGUUUUUCCCCCAUUUUUCUACCAGAGAAACAGAGGAGAAACCGGGUUGGUGCCCUAACCCACAUUUGCCUCCCUGUGCAGCAUAUGAAAAGCUUUGAGCAGUUUAUUGAGAUCAUGGCUCCUGUAUUUUCUAGAGAUGCAUGGCGGUGUGUGUGGCAUAUGCUUUAGAAUGACCUGGUACAUGGUUGGGGUCUUGACUUUGCUCUCAGAAGAUGUGUAGAGGAACCUGCCCAUGAGAAAAUUGGAGUUGUAGAUUCUCAAUGGAUCGUUCAUCAAACUGUUCCCUCGCUUGGGAACCAGGGGCAAGCGGAGAAUGGGAAGGCACCAUGGCAAGGGGUGAGGGAGAGGUGUAAAAAAGAGUGGACCAUGUUUCGAGUUCGCAUGACCAAUGCCGAAAAAACAUAUUACAAGGAGAUGGGAAUUAAUCCUACCAAUUCCACAGCUGACUAGGGGAUGACCCUCACAGAAGCUGACCUGUAUACAAUCAUAAUUACCACUGUUCUUAGGGUUUAUUUUAUUUUAUUUUAUUUAAUAAUAGCGAUCAUUUUUUAGUAUCCCAGAGGUUACUGAUGAGAGUGCUUUGAUCUUCCAUGCUGCUAGAAGUGAAUUGGGUACCCGGGUGGCAGGUGAAAGAGAAAAAAAGUCAAUUAUUCGUUUCUAUCAUCGUCCAUUUUGUUCUCUUUCACACAUUGAUAUGUAGACAUUAAAUGGGCAUGAAAGUUCCUCCUUCAUGGGCCAUUAUAGAUGAAAUAUGAAUCAAAGUUAAUGCUAGCAA